rnacentral:rRNA from 1 species
AGAGUUUGAUCCUGGCUCAGAUUGAACGCUGGCGGCAUGCCUUACACAUGCAAGUCGAACGGCAGCACGGGAGCAAUCCUGGUGGCGAGUGGCGAACGGGUGAGUAAUAUAUCGGAACGUGCCCAGUCGUGGGGGAUAACGUAGAGAAAUUUACGCUAAUACCGCAUACGAUCUACGGAUGAAAGCGGGGGACUCGCAAGGGCCUCGCGCGACUGGAGCGGCUGAUAUCAGAUUAGGUUGUUGGUGAGGUAAAAGCUCACCAAGCCGACGAUCUGUAGCUGGUUUGAGAGAACGACCAGCCACACUGGGACUGAGACACGGCCCAGACUCCUACGGGAGGCAGCAGUGGGGAAUUUUGGACAAUGGGCGCAAGCCUGAUCCAGCAAUGCCGCGUGCAGGAAGAAGGCCUUCGGG